rnacentral:tRNA from 1 species
GCCGACGUGGUGGAAUUGGUAGACACGCUAGGCUUAGAACCUAGUGCCGCAAGGCGUGUGGGUUCGAGUCCCUCCGUCGGUACCA